rnacentral:rRNA from 1 species
CUACGGGUCGCUGCAGUGAGGAAUAUUGCACAAUGGGGGGAACCCUGAUGCAGCAACGCCGCGUGGAGGAUGACGCAUUUCGGUGUGUAAACUCCUUUUAUAUGUCAAGAAAAUGACGGUAGCAUAUGAAUAAGCACCGGCUAACUCCGUGCCAGCAGCCGCGGUAAUACGCGAGGGUGCAAGCGUUACUCGGAAUCACUGGGCGUAAAGGACGCGUAGGCGGGUUGGAAAGUCAGGUGUGAAAUCCUACAGCUUAACUGUAGAACUGCACUUGAAACUUCUAAUCUAGAGUAUGGGAGGGGGAGAUGGAAUUAGCGGUGUAGGGGUAAAAUCCGUAGAUAUCACUAGGAAUACCUAAAGCGAAGGCGAUCUCCUGGAACAUUACUGACGCUAAGGCGUGAAAGCGUGGGGAGCAAACAGGAUUAGAUACCCCUGUAGUC